CCUACGGGUGGCAGCAGUGAGGAAUAUUGGUCAAUGGGCGCGAGCCUGAACCAGCCAAGUCGCGUGAGGGAAGACGGUCCUAUGGAUUGUAAACCUCUUUUGCCGGGGAGCAAAAGACGCCACGCGUGGCGUUCCGAGAGUACCCGAAGAAAAAGCAUCGGCUAACCCCGCGCCAGCAGCCGCGGGAAUACGGAGGAUGCGCGCGUUACCCGGAUUUAGUGGGUUUAAAGGGUGUGCAGGCGGACGAGCAAGUAAGGGGUAAAAUUGAGAGGCUCAACCUCUUCGAGCCGUUGAAACUGGUAAUCUUGAGUGAGUGAGAGGUAUGCGGAAUGCGUGGUGUAGCGGUGAAAUGCAUAGAUAACACGCAGAACUCCGAUUGCGAAGGCAGCAUACCGGAGCGCAACUGACGCUGAUGCACGAAAGUGUGGGUAUCGAACAGGAUUAGAUACCCGUGUAGUC
rnacentral:rRNA from 1 species